rnacentral:rRNA from 1 species
UGCCAGCCGCCGCGGUAAUACGGAGGGUGCAAGCGUUAAUCGGAAUUACUGGGCGUAAAGCGCACGUAGGUGGUUUGUUAAGCUAGCUGUGAAAGCCCUGGGCUCAACCUGGGAAUUGCAGUUAGAACUGGCAGGCUAGAGUAUGGCAGAGGAGUGUGGAAUUUCCGGUGUAGCGGUGAAAUGCGUAGAUAUCGGAAGGAACACCAGUGGCGAAGGCGACACUCUGGGCUAAUACUGACGCUGAGGUGCGAAAGCGUGGGGAGCAAACAGGAUUAGAUA